rnacentral:rRNA from 1 species
UACGAAGGGGGCUAGCGUUGUUCGGAAUCACUGGGCGUAAAGGGCGCGUAGGCGGCCGAUCAAGUCGGGGGUGAAAGCCUGUGGCUCAACCACAGAAUGGCCUUCGAUACUGUUUGGCUUGAGACCGGAAGAGGUCAGUGGAACUGCGAGUGUAGAGGUGAAAUUUGUAGAUAUUCGCAAGAACACCAGUGGCGAAGGCGGCUGACUGGUCCGGUUCUGACGCUGAGGCGCGAAAGCGUGGGGAGCAAACAGG